GACGAACGCUGGCGGCGUGCUUAACACAUGCAAGUCGAACGGAAAGGCCUGCUUUCCCUUGUGGGUUGCGGGUACUCGAGUGGCGAACGGGUGAGUAACACGUGAGUGAUCUGCCCCCAACUUGGGUAUAAGCCUGGGAAACUGGGUCUAAUUCCCGAUAGGACUGCAGGGUGGUGCCUGUGGUGGAAAACGAUUUUCUAGUGGUUGGGGAUGAGCUCGAGGCCUAUCAGCUUGUUGGUGGGGUAAUGGCCUACCAAGGCGGCGACGGGUAGCCGGCCUGAGAGCGUGGACGGCCGCAUUGGGACUGGGAUACGGCCCAGACUCCUACGGGCGGCAGGAGUUGGGAAUAUUGGACCAUGGGCGGAAGCCUGAUGCAGCGACGCCGCGUGGGGGAUGACGGCCUUCGGGUUGUCAACUCCUUUCGACCGAGAGGAAGCCACCUGGUUGGAAGGGUGGUGACGGUAGUGGUAGAAGAAGCACCGGCUAACUACGUG
rnacentral:rRNA from 1 species